rnacentral:rRNA from 1 species
CCUACGGGAGGCAGCAGUGAGGAAUAUUGGUCAAUGGGCGUAAGCCUGAACCAGCGAAGUCGCGUGAGGGAUGAAGGUUCUAUGGAUCGUAAGCCUCUUUUAUAAGGGAAUAAAGUGCGGGACGUGUCCCGUAUUGUAUGUACCUUAUGAAUAAGGAUCGGCUAACUCCGUGCCAGCAGCCGCGGUAAUACGGAGGAUCCGAGCGUUAUCCGGAUUUAUUGGGUUUAAAGGGUGCGUAGGCGGCCUUUUAAGUCAGCGGUGAAAGUCGGUGGCUCAACCAUGGAAUUGCCGUUGAAACUGGGAGGCUUGAGUAUGUUUGAGGCAGGCGGAAUGCGUGGUGUAGCGGUGAAAUGCUUAGAUAUCACGCAGAACCCCGAUUGCGAAGGCAGCCUGCCAAGCCAUGACUGACGCUGAUGCACGAAAGCGUGGGGAUCAAACAGGAUUAGAUACCCUUGUAGUC